ACAUGCCUACAACGUAGCGUUAAUGCACCAGAUCCUAUUAGAACUCCGCAGUUAAGCGUGCUCGGGCUAGAGUAGUAUUGGGAAGGGUGACUGCCCGGGAACUCCUAGUAUUUUACAUGCC
rfam:Picea glauca, whole genome shotgun sequence.